UACGUAGGGGGCUAGCGUUGUCCGGAAUCAUUGGGCGUAAAGCGCGUGUAGGCGGUCCGGUAAGUCCGCUGUGAAAGUCGAGGGCUCAACCCUCGAAUGCCGGUGGAUACUGUCGGGCUUGAGUACGGGAGAGGCGAGUGGAAUUCCUGGUGUAGCGGUGAAAUGCGUAGAGAUGUGGAGGAACACCUGUGGCGAAGGCGCCUUGCUGGCCGAUUUCUGACGCUGAGGCGCGAAAGCGUGGGGAGCAAACAGG
rnacentral:rRNA from 1 species